rnacentral:rRNA from 1 species
CAGCAGCCGCGGUAAUACGUAGGGUGCAAGCGUUAAUCGGAAUUACUGGGCGUAAAGCGUGCGCAGGCGGUUAUAUAAGACAGAUGUGAAAUCCCCGGGCUCAACCUGGGAACUGCAUUUGUGACUGUAUAGCUAGAGUACGGCAGAGGGGGAUGUAAUUCCGCGUGUAGCAGUGAAAUGCGUAGAUAUGCGGAGGAACACCGAUGGCGAAGGCAAUCCCCUGGGCCUGUACUGACGCUCAUGCACGAAAGCGUGGGGAGCAAACAGGAUUAGAUACCCCUGUAGUCCCUGUCUCUUAUAA